UCGAAAGGGAAACAGCCCAGACCACCAGCUAAGGUCCCAAAAUAUAUGUUAAGUGGAAAAGGAUGUGGGGUUGCACAGACAACUAGGAUGUUAGCUUAGAAGCAGCUAUUCAUUCAAAGAGUGCGUAAUAGCUCACUAGUCGAGUGACCCUGCGCCGAAAAUGUACCGGGGCUAAAACAUAUUACCGAAGCUGUGGAUACCUUUUAGGUAUGGUAGGAGAGCGUUCUAUGUGUGAAGAAGGUGUACCGUGAGGAGCGCUGGAACGCAUAGAAGUGAGAAUGCCGGUAUGAGUAGCGAAAGACAGGUGAGAAUCCUGUCCACCGUAUGACUAAGGUUUCCAGGGGAAGGCUCGUCCUCCCUGGGUUAGUCGGGACCUAAGGAGAGACCGAAAGGUGUAUCCGAUGGACAACAGGUUGAUAUUCCUGUACUAGAGUAUAUAGUGAUGGAGGGACGCAGUAGGCUAACUAAAGCGUGCGAUUGGAAGUGCACGUCUAAGCAGUGAGGUGUGAUAUGAGUCAAAUGCUUAUAUCUCUAACAUUGAGCUGUGAUGGGGAGCGAAGUUAAGUAGCGAAGUUAGUGAUGUCACACUGCCAAGAAAAGCUUCUAGCGUUAAUUAUACUCUACCCGUACCGCAAACCGACACAGGUAGUCGAGGCGAGUAGCCUCAGGUGAGCGAGAGAACUCUCGUUAAGGAACUCGGCAAAAUGACCCCGUAACUUCGGGAGAAGGGGCGCUGGCUUUAAGUCAGCCGCAGUGAAUAGGCCCAAGCAACUGUUUAUCAAAAACACAGCUCUCUGCUAAAUCGUAAGAUGAUGUAUAGGGGGUGACGCCUGCCCGGUGCUGGAAGGUUAAGAGGAGCGCUUAGCAUUAGCGAAGGUGUGAAUUGAAGCCCCAGUAAACGGCGGCCGUAACUAUAACGGUCCUAAGGUAGCGAAAUUCCUUGUCGGGUAAGUUCCGACCCGCACGAAAGGCGUAAUGAUUUGGGCACUGUCUCAACGAGAGACUCGGUGAAAUUUUAGUACCUGUGAAGAUGCAGGUUACCCGCGACAGGACGGAAAGACCCCAUGGAGCUUUACUGCAGUUUGAUAUUGAGUAUCUGUACCACAUGUACAGGAUAGGUAGGAGCCUAUGAAAUCGGGACGCUAGUUUCGGUGGAGGCGUUGUUGGGAUACUACCCUUGUGUUAUGGCUACUCUAACCUAGAUAGGCUAUCCCUAUCGGAGACAGUGUCUGACGGGCAGUUUGACUGGGGCGGUCGCCUCCUAAAAGGUAACGGAGGCGCCCAAAGGUUCCCUCAGAAUGGUUGGAAAUCAUUCGCAGAGUGUAAAGGUAUAAGGGAGCUUGACUGCGAGAGCUACAACUCGAGCAGGGACGAAAGUCGGGCUUAGUGAUCCGGUGGUUCCGCAUGGAAGGGCCAUCGCUCAACGGAUAAAAGCUACCCUGGGGAUAACAGGCUUAUCUCCCCCAAGAGUUCACAUCGACGGGGAGGUUUGGCACCUCGAUGUCGGCUCAUCGCAUCCUGGGGCUGUAGUCGGUCCCAAGGGUUGGGCUGUUCGCCCAUUAAAGCGG
rnacentral:rRNA from 1 species